UGAUUUGAGGGGUCUGGCAGGCUAGGCAGGGACCCCCUUCCUCCCUCACCACACAGUGCAUCUCUCUGAAAGUUGCAAACUUGGUGGAAAGAGGACAAUCAUUCCAGAUACAGAAGUACCAUUCUUUGCUCCAAGGUAUAUGACAGCUGUUUUCCCCUACCAGACCCUCCAAACAAGCUCAAAGUGCAAGUUAAUUUAAAUUUAAUUUAUACCCUGGCAACAUGAUUUUAAUUGUU
rnacentral:snRNA from 1 species